ensembl:snRNA U6 U6 spliceosomal RNA
GUAUUCAUUUCAGUAUCACAUAUAUUCAAAUUGGAGUGGUAUAAAAGAUUAGCCUGGCCCCUGUGCAAGGGUGAGACACAGAUUCAUAAAGUGUUGCUAAAGUGU